rnacentral:rRNA from 1 species
AUGGGGGACAGGAAGAGGUACUGUUCCUGCUCCUCUACCCACGGCUUCUCGAGGCCGCUACCGCUCUUCUCCUUCUUCACCUUCUUGUGCCUCCAUGUGUCCGCCGCCGCCGGCAACCCGCGCCUUCCUCUAAACAGCACGCAGGAAUCCAUCAUGAGGGAUCUCUGGCGCUAUGUGGGCUCAGCCGGGUGGAACACAACCGUCUCCAAUCCAUGCCUAUGGAGAGGAAUCGGCUGCUCCCCUUCUAACUCUAGUUCCUUCUCGGUGGUUACUGAAGUCGAUUUAUCUGGCUGCUCCAUAUCCAACCCCACGCUCUUUGCCUCCUUAUGCUCUCUCGACACCUUACAGUCCCUCGAUCUCUCCAAGAAUUACUUCGCCGAUUUGACGGACCAUUUCUCUCGUUGCCCCAUGACUGCCGGGUUGCGGGUGCUGAAUUUCAGCAGCAACCGUCUGGUCGGGCGACUAAGCGAUCUCUCGGAUUUCUCUCGACUUGAGGUUCUUGAUCUCUCCUUCAAUUCCUUCACUGGAACUGUGACCACCCAAUUGAGUGUUAUGCCUAGGUUGAGGAGCCUGAACCUCAGCUCCAAUCAUUUGGUUGGUGCUGUCCCUCUAAGAAUGGCUAGCUCUAUGGAGGAGUUAGUGUUGUCUCGUAAUAGUUUCAAUGAUUCAAUUCCAAGCAGCCUGUUCAGUUAUUCAAACCUCACCCUGUUGGAUCUUAGUCAGAACAGUCUCACUGGUGAUGUCGUUGAUGGGUUCCGGAAGCUGCCCAAGCUCAGGACCUUAAUCCUUUCUGGUAAUAACCUGACUGGAACAAUACCGGCGAGCUUGUCGAAUGUCGCGACGCUCACUCGGUUUGCGGCUAAUCAGAACAAUUUUACUGGUUCUAUCCCCAGCGGUAUUACAAAGCAUGUGAAGAUGUUGGAUUUGAGUUACAAUGGUCUGAGUGGGGAGAUACCCUCUGAUCUCCUCGCUUCUGUAGGAUUGGAGACUGUUGAUCUCUCCAGCAAUUACCUUCAAGGACCAAUUCCUAGGAACUUAUCUUCAAACCUCUACCGCUUGAGGCUUGGUGGUAACAAGCUCAAUGGGACCAUCCCGGACACCAUCGAUGAUGCCUUGGCCUUGGCUUAUCUUGAGUUGGACAACAAUCACUUGAUGGGAAAUAUCUCUUCAGAGCUUGGAAGAUGCAGGAACUUGUCCUUGUUGAAUCUGGCAUCGAACAAUCUUCAGGGGCAAGUGCCUGAUGCAAUCAGUAACCUUGACAAGCUGGUAGUUCUGAAGCUUCAAAUGAACAAUCUCAGGGGACCUAUCCCAAGUACAUUUUCUGAUUUAACAAAUCUGAGCACUUUGAAUCUUAGUCUGAAUUCAUUCACUGGAGAGAUACCAAUGGGAAUUUUCAACCUUCCAAAGCUUUCCAACUUGAAUUUUCAAGGGAACAAGAUCAGCGGUGCCAUUCCAGUUUCAGUCAGUUCAUUGCCGUCUCUGAUUGAACUCAAUCUGGCAAAUAAUUCCCUCACUGGUACCAUCCCAAAAAUGCCGACCAGCUUGAGCGCAGUUCUCAAUCUUAGUCACAACCAUCUCAGUGGAUCUAUUCCUUCAAAUAUUGGUGUUUUAAAAGAUUUAGAGAUCCUUGACCUUUCAUACAACAACUUGUCUGGUCCAGUGCCAUCCUCACUUGAGGGUCUGCAGAGCUUGACACAUUUGGUGCUAUCUCAUAAUCACCUAUCUGGGUCCCUUCCUGCAUUUCGUUCAAGUGUGACUGUUGAUAGCAGUGGAAAUCCUGAGCUUACAGAUGACAGGGAAAACAGUAAUGACGCUCCUACUAGUGGGAAGACAAGGACACAUAGUGUUGUGAUUAUUGUUGCUAUUGUCAGUCCUCUUGUUGGACUGUGCUUGCUGGCUGCUAUUAUUAUGCUCGCAUUGUCCAAGAGGAUUUAUCGUGUGGAAGACGAAGGACCAUCAACUGAAGUGGGUGUGUGUCAAGUCAUUGACGGCCAUUUCAUAACAAUGAGCAGUGUGCACACCUCUGGAAUUGACUUUACGUAUGCAAUGAAAGCAGUCUCCAAUCCCAACAACAUAUUCCUGAAGACAAGAUUCUGCACCUACUACAAGGCCAUGAUGCCAAAUGGAUCAAUCUACUCUGUGAAAAAGCUUGAUUGGAGUGACAAGAUAUUCCAGGUUGGUAGCCAAGAGAAAUUUGGCCAUGAGCUUGAGGUACUUGGCAAGCUAAGCAAUUCCAGUGUCAUGGUGCCAUUGGCUUAUGUCUUGACAGAAGACAAUGCGUACCUCCUCUAUGAGCAUGUGUACAAGGGCACGGUGUUCGACUUACUGCAUGAUGGAAGGUCACAUGUUCUGGACUGGACAUCACGGUAUAGCAUUGCUUUGGGGGUGGCCGAAGGGCUGACCUUUCUUCAUGGGCGCACUCAGCCGGUUCUGCUUCUUGAUCUGUCGACGAGGACUAUCCACUUGAAGUCAACGAAUGAGCCUCAGAUUGGAGACAUUGAGCUUUACAAAAUUAUCGAUCCUUCUAAAAGUAGUGGGAGCCUUUCAACCAUUGCUGGCACAGUUGGCUAUAUUCCACCAGAGUAUGCAUACACUAUGAGGUUGACGAUGGCCGGGAAUGUUUAUAGCUUUGGAGUCAUUUUACUGGAGCUCUUAACAGGGAAACCAUCUGUCAGUGAUGGCAUGGAGCUAGCCAAGUGGGCUCUCAGUCUUUCAGCUAGGCCUGAGCAAAGGGAGCAGGUCCUUGACACCAGGGUCUCAAGAACUUCACUUGGUGUUCACAGCCAGAUGCUGUCAGUCCUCAAUGUUGCGCUCUCCUGUGUUACUUUCUCUCCCGAUGCUCGGCCGAAGAUGCGCAACGUCUUGAGGCUGCUCGCCAACGCAAAGUGA